AAAAAUCUUCUAUACUAUUAAUGUAGAACCAAUUGCAAGGUCAAUGCUCCAGGGGGAGAACUGGGUUCAUAUAAUUGAAGGGGUUAUUCAGGGGCUACUGUGUCUGCAGGAGUACUCAAGAUUGACAAUAAUUCACCAAGAUAUGAAAGCCAGCAACAUAUUACUGGAUGCAGAGAUGAGGCCAAAAAUAUCCUACUUCGGUAUAGCUAGAAGCUUCCAGAAAGACGAAAAUGAAGGAAACACAGGAAAGAUUGUCGGAACAUAUGGUUAUGUUCCUCCCGAGUACGUAAAACAAGGAAUAUACUCGAGAAAAUAUGAUGUUUACAGCUUUGGAGUAAUACUACUACAAAUUAUAAGUGGAAAGAAAUGUACACAUCUAUAUGGUGCAACCAGGAGCUUAAAUCUGCUGGAAUACGUAAGAUAAUUGGUUCUGUUUGGCAGAGCUUAUUUGUCAA